ACGGAAGGCAGCAGUGGGGAAUAUUGGGUAAUGGGCGCAAGCCUGACCCAGCAAUGCCGCGUGAAGGAAGAAGGCUUUCGGGUUGUAAACUUCUUUUAAGUGGGACGACAAUGACGGUACCACUUGAAUAAGCUCCGGCUAACUACGUGCCAGCAGCCGCGGUAAUACGUAGGGAGCAAGCGUUAUCUGGAUUUACUGGGUGUAAAGGGCGUGUAGGCGGGACAUCAAGUCAGAUGUGAAAGCACGAGGCUCAACUUCGUGUCUGCAUUUGAAACUGACGUUCUUGAGUGUUGGAGAGGCUAACGGAACUCCUAGUGUAGCGGUGAAAUGCGUAGAUAUUAGGAAGAACACCAGUGGCGAAGGCGGUUAGCUGGACAAUAACUGACGCUGAGGUGCGAAGGUGCGGGGAGCGAACAGGAUUAGAUACCCUGGUA
rnacentral:rRNA from 1 species